rnacentral:tRNA from 1 species
ACAGUGGUGGUUCAAUGGUAGAAUCCUCACCUUUCAUACAGGAGACCUGGGUUCAAUUCCCAACCAAUGCA